UUUUCCAAGUUAGCUUUUGAGCAUCCCUUUCUGGAGCUGAAAAGAUGCUGAAGUUGUUAAAGUGAGUCCUUGUUAUGAGCGUUUUAGGAAAGCAGAGAUCUUGCAAGCAACCCUGCAGUGUGAGACCAGACGUACCAGCCAAUUGCCAUGGCAAUGACUGGAGUCCUCAUCCCACCAGCUCACCCAUGGGGUGUCAAUGGGAGAGCACACUCAUGAAGUGCUGCCACUAAUAACCAAGGGAAUAAAAGGAAACUGGCUCAAUGCAUUGGGAUAACUCCACAAGGCAAAUCUCUACCCAGAACAAGCCAAGAUUCAUUCCUGCACUAACUGCUGCUUGAUGAAGUGAUUUUUCCUGAGCUCAUGAUGCAAGGCAUUGUCAGAGAAAGGGCUUAUGCAAGGCUGCAGCAGUCCCUGCUGAACGCCUGAGCCAUUCAGUGAUCCAGCCCACCGCACACCCUGUCAGGUCUGUUACCUGCCAUCAGCUCCCCCACUGGGAAAACAUGGAAUUUUCCAAAGGGUUUUAAGUUGUCAAAGACAGAGAUUUUUCCAUGUGCUGCAAUCAGGGCUGAAGACUGGUCAAUGUGUUGUACAUGCACACCCAGCUUUACCACCAACUGAAUGAUGGUGAAACCCCUCCCCACGCUGCUAGCAUCCUUCCCUGCUCUAUGCUUCUGGAAGGCUAACGAACAGUGAGUCCGUCUACAGCAGAGGGAAAACAAGCAUGUGAAAAUGGGAUGAUCCAUCAAAUGGAAAAGGACCCAUCAGGAAUAUAAUCACCUUCUGCUACACUUGACUGAUUGAUUGCUAUGUUUGACUGGCUCCUCUCCCAGUCAGUGGGACUUGUGCUCCUAAAUUGUUUGGGGUGGGGUUUUAAAAGAUGUUUGG